AUUGAACGCUGGCGGCAGGCCUAACACAUGCAAGUCGAGCGAGCGGCGGACGGGUGAGUAAUGUAUGGGGGCUGCCUGAUAUAGGGGGAUAACUGCUGGAAACGGUAGCUAAUACCGCAUACGAUCGGAUACCCCAUUGGGGUUUAGCUCGUAGGUGAGGUAAUGGCUCACCUAGGCGACGACCCCUAGCUGGUCCGAGAGGAUGAUCAGCAAACCUGGAACUGAGACACGGCCCAGACUCCUACGGAGGCAGCAGAGGGGAAUAUUGCACAAUGGGCGCAAGCCUGAUACAGCCAUGCCGCGUGUAUGAAGAAGGCCCUAGGGUUUUAAAGUACUUUCAGUCGGGAGGCGUUACCGACAGAAGAAGCACCGGCUAACUCCGUGCCAGCAGCCACGGUAAUUC
rnacentral:rRNA from 1 species